GGCUCAGGAUGAACGCUGGCGGCGUGCCUAAUACAUGCAAGUCGAGCGAACGGACGAGAAGCUUGCUUCUCUGAUGUUAGCGGCGGACGGGUGAGUAACACGUGGAUAACCUACCUAUAAGACUGGGAUAACUUCGGGAAACCGGAGCUAAUACCGGAUAAUAUUUUGAACCGCAUGGUUCAAAAGUGAAAGACGGUCUUGCUGUCACUUAUAGAUGGAUCCGCGCUGCAUUAGCUAGUUGGUAAGGUAACGGCUUACCAAGGCAACGAUGCAUAGCCGACCUGAGAGGGUGAUCGGCCACACUGGAACUGAGACACGGUCCAGACUCCUACGGGAGGCAGCAGUAGGGAAUCUUCCGCAAUGGGCGAAAGCCUGACGGAGCAACGCCGCGUGAGUGAUGAAGGUCUUCGGAUCGUAAAACUCUGUUAUUAGGGAAGAACAUAUGUGUAAGUAACUGUGCACAUCUUGACGGUACCUAAUCAGAAAGCCACGGCUAACUACGUGCCAGCAGCCGCGGUAAUACGUAGGUGGCAAGCGUUAUCCGGAAUUAUUGGGCGUAAAGCGCGCGUAGGCGGUUUUUUAAGUCUGAUGUGAAAGCCCACGGCUCAACCGUGGAGGGUCAUUGGAAACUGGAAAACUUGAGUGCAGAAGAGGAAAGUGGAAUUCCAUGUGUAGCGGUGAAAUGCGCAGAGAUAUGGAGGAACACCAGUGGCGAAGGCGACUUUCUGGUCUGUAACUGACGCUGAUGUGCGAAAGCGUGGGGAUCAAACAGGAUUAGAUACCCUGGUAGUCCACGCCGUAAACGAUGAGUGCUAAGUGUUAGGGGGUUUCCGCCCCUUAGUGCUGCAGCUAACGCAUUAAGCACUCCGCCUGGGGAGUACGACCGCAAGGUUGAAACUCAAAGGAAUUGACGGGGACCCGCACAAGCGGUGGAGCAUGUGGUUUAAUUCGAAGCAACGCGAAGAACCUUACCAAAUCUUGACAUCCUUUGACAACUCUAGAGAUAGAGCCUUCCCCUUCGGGGGACAAAGUGACAGGUGGUGCAUGGUUGUCGUCAGCUCGUGUCGUGAGAUGUUGGGUUAAGUCCCGCAACGAGCGCAACCCUUAAGCUUAGUUGCCAUCAUUAAGUUGGGCACUCUAAGUUGACUGCCGGUGACAAACCGGAGGAAGGUGGGGAUGACGUCAAAUCAUCAUGCCCCUUAUGAUUUGGGCUACAC
rnacentral:rRNA from 1 species